UGAUAAUUGGAAAUAGCUAUGUGUCAGAUAUAAUUAUGUGUCUAAUAUCAAUACAUUUAACUUCUUCCUAUGUCUUUUAUGUAUUUUGAAGGUUCAUGGAGGGUCAUAUCUCCUUAUUCACGUCCAGACAUGAGUCAUACACGGAUGUUGAACACAAAUAGUUCAAA